AGAGUUUGAUCAUGGCUCAGAACGUACGCUGGCGGCACGCCUAACACAUGCAAGUCGAACGCAGUAGCAAUACUGAGUGGCAAACGGGUGAGUAAUAUGUGGGAAUCUGCCUUUUGGUUUGGAAUAACACGGGGAAACUUGUGCUAAUACCGAAUAAGCCCUUACGGGGAAAGUUUUAACGCCGAAAGAUGAGCCCGCACUUGAUUAGCUAGUUGGUAAGGUAAAAGCUUACCAAGGCAACGAUCAAUAGCUGUUCUUAGAGGAAGACCAGCCACAUUGGGACUGAGACACGGCCCAGACUCCUACGGGAGGCAGCAGUGGGGAAUCUUGCACAAUGGGGGAAACCCUGAUGCAGCGAUGCCGCGUGAGUGAAGAAGGCCCUUGGGUUGUAAAACUCUUUCGUCGGGGAAGAAAAUGACUGUACCCGAAUAAGAAGGUCCGGCUAACUUCGUGCCAGCAGCCGCGGUAAUACGAAGGGACCUAGCGUAGUUCGGAAUUACUGGGCUUAAAGAGCUCGUAGGUGGUUAAAAAAGUUGAUGGUGAAAUCCCAAGGCUUAACCUUGGAACUGCCAUCAAAACUUUUUAGCUAGAGUGUGAUAGAGGUAAGUGGAAUUUCUAGUGUAGAGGUGAAAUUCGUAGAUAUUAGAAAGAACAUCAAAAGCGAAGGCAACUUACUGGGUCACUACUGACACUGAGGAGCGAAAGCGUGGGUAGCGAAGAGGAUUAGAUACCCUCGUAGUCCAUGCCGUAAACGAUGUGUGCUAGACGUUGGAAAUAUAUUUUUCAGUGUCGCAGCGAAAGCAUUAAGCACACCGCCUGGGGGAGUACGACCGCAUGGUCAAAACUCAAAUGAAUUGACGGGGACCCGCACAAGCAGUGGAGCAUGUCG
rnacentral:rRNA from 1 species